ACACAGUGUCUUUUUGAUACAGAACUCUUGCUUUGGUUUGGCCUAGAGAUAGGUUGGGCCAGAGGUUUAACAAAACACAAUUUAAUUAUUUUUACAGUUAGUCAAAUUUUGAAUUAAUCUUCAAAACUUUCAACAACGGAUCUCUUGGUUCUCGCAUCGAUGAAGAACGCAGCGAAAUGCGAUAAGUAAUAUGAAUUGCAGAUUUUCGUGAAUCAUCGAAUCUUUGAACGCACAUUGCGCCCUCUGGUAUUCCAGAGGGCAUGCCUGUUUGAGCGUCAUUUCUCUCUCAAACCCCCGGGUUUGGUAUUGAGUGAUACUCUUAGUCGGACUAGGCGUUUGCUUGAAAAGUAUUGGCAUGGGUAGUACUAGAUAGUGCUGUCGACCUCUCAAUGUAUUAGGUUUAUCCAACUCGUUGAAUGGUGUGGCGGGAUAUUUCUGGUAUUGUUGGCCCGGCCUUACAACAACCAAACAAGUUUGACCUCAAAUCAGGUAGGAAUACCCGCUGAACUUAAGCAUAUCAAUAAGCGGAGGA
rnacentral:rRNA from 1 species